CAAGAAGAGAACGGAUGAAACACGUUACUUCACCGCCUGAACAUUUGCAAGUUAGAAAUCAGCAGUCCUUCAUGAGUUCGUCUUUUAACGUUUCCCAGCUCCCAAAUUUUUGUUGACCAAUAAUACUUCCAGGUGAAAAAAAACUUGUUG
ensembl:ncRNA T11A5.10 ncRNA